rnacentral:rRNA from 1 species
UACGUAGGUGGCAAGCGUUGUCCGGAUUUAUUGGGUUUAAAGGGUGCGUAGGCGGCUUUGUAAGUCAGUGGUGAAAUAUGGCAGCUCAACUGUCAAGGUGCCAUUGAUACUGCGGAGCUUGAGUACAGAUGAGGUAGGCGGAAUUGACGGUGUAGCGGUGAAAUGCUUAGAUAUCGUCAAGAACAUCUAUAGCGAAGGCAGCUUACUAGGCUGUAACUGACGCUGAGGCACGAAAGUGUGGGGAUCAAACAGG